rnacentral:rRNA from 1 species
GAUGAACGCUGGCGGCGUGCCUAAUACAUGCAAGUCGAGCGAACGGACGAGAAGCUUGCUUCUCUGAUGUUAGCGGCGGACGGGUGAGUAACACGUGGAUAACCUACCUAUAAGACUGGGAUAACUUCGGGAAACCGGCGCUAAUACCGGAUAAUAUUUUGAACCGCAUGGUUCAAAAGUGAAAGACGGUCUUGCUGUCACUUAUAGAUGGUUCCGCGCUGCAUUAGCUAGUUGGUAAGGUAACGGCUUACCAAGGCAACGAUGCAUAGCCGACCUGAGAGGGUGAUCGGCCACACUGGAACUGAGACACGGUCCAGACUCCUACGGGAGGCAGCAGUAGGGAAUCUUCCGCAAUGGGCGAAAGCCUGACGGAGCAACGCCGCGUGAGUGAUGAAGGUCUUCGGAUCGUAAAACUCUGUUAUUAGGGAAGAACAUAUGUGUAAGUAACUGUGCACAUCUUGACGGUACCUAAUCAGAAAGCCACGGCUAACUACGUG